rnacentral:rRNA from 1 species
UACGGGGGGAGCAAGCGUUGUUCGGAUUUACUGGGCGUAAAGGGCGCGUAGGCGGUCAGCACAAGUCAGUUGUGAAAUCUCCGAGCUUAACUCGGAAAGGUCAACUGAUACUGUGCGACUAGAGUGCGGAAGGGGCAACUGGAAUUCUUGGUGUAGCGGUGAAAUGCGUAGAUAUCAAGAGGAACACCAGUGGCGAAGGCGGCUCACUGGACCGGUAUUGACGCUGAGGUGCGAAAGCGUGGGGAGCAAACAGG